UGAUAGGUGGACUUUCUCAGUCUUGCUUUCCCACAGUCUCUCUGCACAUCUGUUCUUGUUUUCUUCUCAAGUUUACAAUCUACUCAGCCACUUUGUUCAAAAUAAGUCCUUGUUCUCAUGGGACAGCUUUCUCCUGGUGUUUUUCUCCUCUCUUAGGGUGCAUCAAUAUGUUGUCAGGACUAAGGCCUCCAUUCUCAGUCCCCUUUUCAUUCCAUGUUAGGGUCUCGGUCCAGCCGAGGUUCCCCACACUUUUCCAUAAAAAUUAAGGCU